ensembl:snRNA U2 U2 spliceosomal RNA
AUUGCUUCUCGGCCUUUUGGCUAAGAUCAAGUGUAGAAUAACUCUACACUACUGGAGAUAACCAUAUUUGGGGCAAAUGGGUAUGAAGAAAAUUUAGUUCAUCUUGUGAAAUUGCUUUCUAAAAAGUUUGUAUUAAUAUUUCCACUAAUAUUGGAAAGGUGUUGACAUU